UAUUAUUAGUAUUAUUAUUAUUAUGAAUGAAGGCACUUUAGAAACGUUGUAUAUCACUAGCACAAUUCUAAUCAUUAACUAGGUACCUUCUAUAUUUUAUGUCAUUUAACAGCUGUUAGUCUAUUUUUGUCAAUGAUUGAUUGAGAAAUUCUUGUGCACAAUGUGUUGCCUAUAUUUAAUUAGUCCAUUGUUUGGAGGAAACUCUGUCAAUUUAGUUCCAGAUUACAGUUAUCCUGGUUAGGUUGGAUAGGUGUGACACAAAUCAUAUCCAUACAUUUACCAACUGGCAAGAGUUAAAUAAUUACACUUUUAUAAAGUUCAUGUAUUAAAUAGGAUGCAACUAAAGUUACCUGUGAAAAGUUGGCCAAGUGGUAAUAUGCACUUGUACCCCACACUUGUAUCCUAUGGGGAGGGCUUUAACAUCAAAAGGGAUUAGUCUUCUAUCUAACCAAAAAAUGGGUAGUGGGAGAUACCCUGGAUAUUUCUAAAAAAAGGGAGUAUUAAAUGACUUUUCAUGUAAAAAUUAAGGGUCAAAAGAUGUUUUCACCCUUUUUGGAAGUUUUAGUAAGAAUAUUUUCAACAAUUUAUGAAUUUUCUCUUUUCCAGUUCCAUUGGUAUUUGUUGCAUGUGGUGUUAAGUCCAAAUUUUUUUAUUUAUACCUGAUUUUUUAUGAACUUAAAAUAUAAACGUGUGAAAUCCAUAUGUAAAAUAAGUAGAUCUUACUAUAUAUUUUACGUACAUGACGAAUCCGGUCUAAGAAAUAAUUUUUCGUCCAGCACACGAAGAUGAUUUCACAAGGCCUCAAAAAAAAAUCAAAAUGUUACUUGUGAAUUGAAUUGAGGUAUGGCACUAAUGUAACUAAUGCUGAACUUUUCUCACUAAAAUCUCACUCAUUUAGUAAACCCUAUUUAAAUGCGACAAAGGUGAUCCAAAGAAAACAAAUCACUUGCUUGCACUUGAUGGAGCAAAGGAAAGGGUUCAUUUGUUCAAAGCAAAUUUACUGGAAGAAGGGUCUUUUGAUGCUGCAGUUGAUGGAUGCGAAGGAGUUUUCCAUACUGCAUCCCCUGUACUAUUUGCAGUCACUGAUCCACAGGUUCCUCUCUCAUACCUUUCAAAUACCUUCCAUCUUCUUGAUAGGUUAACAAAUUCAUUAAACUUUGUGUAAAGGGUUAUAUAUAGCAGAUAAUUAGCUGAUCAGCGCCCUUAUGCUUAUAAUUUUGAGGCCUAAUACAUUUUCUUCAUUGCCUCACACGACCUGCAAGAAAUAUUCCCAUUUUAUUUUCUGGGUUUCAGGCAGAACUAAUUGAUCCAGCAGUGAAAGGAACACUUAAUGUUCUU
rnacentral:misc_RNA from 1 species